rnacentral:rRNA from 1 species
CCCUUAGAUGUUCUGGGCGGCCCGCGCACUACAAUGGCGUGUGCAGCGAGUGCCGAAGUAGAGUUUUCCGAGGUAUUCUUGCAAUGCUCGUUUUGAUGGGGAUAGACCCUUGCAACUGUUGGUUUUGAACGAGGAAUUCCUUGUAAGCAUGGUUUAUCAUCCGGCGCUGAAUGCGUCCCUGCCCUUUGUACACACCGCCCGUCGCUCCUACCGAUGAGUCGUCCGGUGAAGUUCGUAGACCUCGUGAUCGCGGAUCACUGGGGGAAGCAAAAUGAACCUCGCGGUUUAGAGGAAGGAGAAGUCGUAACA